rnacentral:rRNA from 1 species
GACGAACGCUGGCGGCGUGCUUAACACAUGCAAGUCGAACGGAAAGGCCCUGCUUUUGUGGGGUGCUCGAGUGGCGAACGGGUGAGUAACACGUGAGUAACCUGCCCUUGACUUUGGGAUAACUUCAGGAAACUGGGGCUAAUACCGGAUAGGAGCUCCUGCUGCAUGGUGGGGGUUGGAAAGUUUCGGCGGUUGGGGAUGGACUCGCGGCUUAUCAGCUUGUUGGUGGGGUAGUGGCUUACCAAGGCUUUGACGGGUAGCCGGCCUGAGAGGGUGACCGGCCACAUUGGGACUAAGAUACGGCCCAGACUCCUACGGGAGGCAGCAGUGGGGAAUAUUGCACAAUGGGCGGAAGCCUGAUGCAGCAGCGCCGCGUGCGGGAUGACGGCCUUCGGGUUGUAAACCGCUUUCGCCUGUGACGAAGCGUGAGUGACGGUAAUGGGUAAAGAAGCACCGGCUAACUACGUG